GCUUUGACUACUGAGCUCAAAGUUUGAAUUCGGUUCUGUUUUGUUCAUCUAGGUUUGUGGUUGUAUGGUUUUGACCUCUUUUUUUAGACAGACUCCCCGUCUUGAAUGGUUAUUCAGCAAGCAGGUAUAAUACAGCUUCUUCUCAUUUGGCUGUUGCAUUUGAUUAUUGUAGAAAGUUCAGAAAUUGAUUUGUUUUCAAUAAGAACUUAUUUUUCACAAGCAGGAUGAGAAGAACUUGAUACCAUUUGUGUGUGGGAAAAAGCAAAGGAGAUUACUUUCUCCAUCCCUAGUGGGACAAUGCAAAGAUAGAACCACAUAAGUCUGAUCAGUAUGCAAAAGUAUGCACCUUUAAGACUAGCAGUGUUUGAAAGUGUGGUUACAGCACAGUAAAAUUUGUCUUCUGUUGACUUUAUCAAUCAUUUGCUGAAAUUCAGGCAGGCAAAUCAGUUUAAAGCAUCUUAAAAAAAUUGUCAUAAUAAACCAAGAAGCAAUUAUAGCUUUUUUCAUGCUAUAAAGUAAAGGUAAAGGUUUUCCCCUGACAUUAAGUCUAGUCGUGUCUGACUCUGGGGGUUGGGGCUCAUCUCCAUUCCUAAACCGAAAAACCAGCGUUGUCCAUAGAUACCUCCUAGGUCAUGUGGCUGGUAUGACUGCAUGGAGCACCAUUACCUUCCUACCGGAGCAGCACCUAUUGAUCUAUUCACAUUUGCAUGUUUUUGAACUGUUAGAUUAGCAGAAGCUGGGACUAACAGUGGGAGCUCACCCCUCUCACUAGAUUCGAACUGCCGACCUUUCAGUCAGCAAGUUCAGCAGGUCAGUGGUUUAAUCUGCUGAUAUCUUGCAAUUGAAUGACAAUUAAUGGAUGGAAGACACAUCAGACUUUGUGUUUCAUGCAUUACCUUGUGUUUCUUUUAAGAGUUAAACUACACAUUAAAUGGAUUUGAUCUCUGAAUGUGAUUUCCUUUAAUGAAAUAUAACUUUGGGAGGGAGACUGCUCAUUUGAUCAGAGAAGAGUACUGAGAGAAGGGAUGGCAAAUACCAUCAUCAUGCCAUUUUCCCAUUCAAAAGCAUCUCUCCACUCAGUUGCUGUUUUUCUUGGAAAGGGGAAAGUAAAAGGGUGCAUCUAUUUCCAAGUACAUCUAUUUCCAAUAGCCACAUAGGCUGAGAUAUUCUGGAAGCUGUGAUCCAAAAAAUAAGUUUUCCAAACUCAAGUUGGACUGCAGCUGUUAGGAUCCCCAGCUCACAUGGUUAAUGGCAGAUUGGCUAGGAAUAAAGGGCAUUGCAGUCCAUCAUAUUUGAAGAAACCUCAAGAAACCUGAACAAACAGAGAAGGGAUUUACUAUGAGCUUUUACUUUACAAUUGCAUUCUAUUCUUCUUCAUCAUCAUCAUUUGACUGGCUUAUACUGGCAAUAAAUGAAAAGCAAAAUAAAGACAGAAAUGAGGUUUUUUAAAAAAGAAAAAGAAAAGAAAAAGAAAAAAAGAAAGAGAUAUGAAAACAAGAUAUUCUUAAUUAAAGGUUAUUUUCCCAAAUGGCCAGCCAGUCUUGACUUUUGAGAAGUCGAAGGAAAAAAUGGACUCAUACAAUUAUUUGCAGUGUAGAAACUUCCAUUCAUGAACUUUUAAAGUGGGAAGAAUAGACACCUGGAAACAGUUUGUUUCCAAAUCCCCUGCUUGCAGGAUCUGUUUAGACAUUAAUCUUCACAUAUACAGCAAAUGUAUGGAGUAGGAUCGUACUUGUAGCCUACCACCCAAUGUGGUAGUUGGCUCUACCAUACCAGUAGCCCAGUGCUUGGCAGAUAUAUGAAAAGGUUUUAUCAUUGUUAUAGUUCAGCAAUAUCACAUUUAUAUCCUGAAAUCUUAGGCCCCUUCUACACAAUUGAAUAAAAUCCAGAUUAUCUGCUUUUAAGUGAAUUACAUGGCAGUGUAGACUCUGUCUUGAUAUUCUGUAUUAUAUGCCAGUGUAUAAGGCAUCUUAGAUAACACAGCCACAGAGUACAUGAAACAAUAUGAGCAACCCUUUAAAAUGCUUGAAAGACUUUGGCUAACAUUUGGUGGGUGUUUUACACAAUGUAAGUUCCCUUAGGUAAAUGCUUGUAUUUUAACCAUGGUGUAACAUCUGCAUUCAGUUCAUAGUUUUGUAAGUAUGACUAUUCUUGGCCAUAGUGAAGCUCAUCAGAGGCUUCACAAUAUCCCGUGAUUCACUGGGACUAUAGAAAGAGCCAGCUCAUUUACAGAUACACAACUGGUUGCACAAUAUCAUAUUCAGCAGAUUUGAAAGCCCAAGUUUUGAUUAUCUGUAUGGAAUCCUCACAUUCUGCAUUGGCUUCCUCUCUGUGCUCUAUGACUAUCUUUAGGUGCAACUUUGGAGGCCUAAUGUGGUUUCAAAAUCCCCUUGAAAAGUUUGUGGUGCCAAAAUGUUUAAAAUGUGUUAUACAGUCACAUAAAUGUAAAUCAUAUUUGUCUUUUCUCCUCAUCUUUAUUUUUAGUUAUUGUGAUGUUAUGUUCCCUGGUGGGAAAUGAAGCUCACCACCAGCUCCCACUAAUUAUUAUUAAGUAAAUAUACACAUGAGUUCCAGAUGUAAAAGCGUGAUUACGUUCUCUGUUGGCAAUAGAUGUGUUUCCAUGUUGCCUAGGUUUUGUCUAUAUAUGACUAUGUCAGGUUUCUUAUAUGCAAUUUCAUUUUCUUGGAAUGAAGCUGGUGUUCCUAUUCUCAGAAACAUAUAUAUACUGGCCUUCUAUAAUUCAGGGUGUGUGUAUGUAUAUCCUAUUUAACUCAAAAUUUGCUGCAAAACUAUAUAAUGUAGGGCAAAACCAAUGAAGAAUGACAAAAAUAGAAGUACCAGGUAUUGUUUAAAAAUAUAAAGAAAAUAGCCACUGCCAGGAGAGAUAUUCCAGGUCAAGUAUUUGACCCCUCUCUCCUUCAAAACAUGGCCCAAUUCUUCAUUCCUUCUUCCAUUGUUCCUAGUUACAUUAAGAAGAAGGUUCUUGUUGGUAGUGGCUAAUUGUAAAAUUGUCUUGUCGAAUGUGGCAUAGGAAGCACACACACUGCUUGGACUUUUGGGAUCUCAAGACACAGCACAGGGGUAAAAGUGGGAGUUCGACCAUUAACGUUUUCCUUUUCUUAUAUCCACACUAUCUGCUUCUAUUAUUUGAUGAAGUAUAUUCUUUGGUCAAUUGUGUUGCACAUGAGAAAUGCAGGUUGAAUUGUCUGCUGAGGACAGAAGUGGGGAAACUGUGUCCCCCUAGAUCACAUGUGUCAAACACACAACUAGUGAGCUUAAGUCCGUCAUGUCAUUUUAUGUGGCCCACGAGACGUUCAAUGCCAGGGUAACAUAAUUACAUUCGUACAGUCUUACAAUUACAAAUGGACAUUUAAAGGCAACUGUAAGGACGAUGUGGCCCCUGGUGAAAAUGAGUUUGACACUCCUGAUCUAGAUGAUACUGUACUGAAAGCCAUUCUUCUCCAUUAUUUGAAUCAGUUAGGGUUGAAGAGAAUAGUAGGCAAACAAGAAGACCACAAGACCAUUUCUGGCCUAGGCAUUUAAAUAAUGCCUAAAAGAGUUGCAGAGUCUGCUAAUCCAACCACUGAAUCUUGUUGAAAAGAAAGGGUUCAGUUAUUUUUGGUGGAUCAACAAGAUCUCCCUAUCUCUGGUGCAAUCCUGUCUGCCUUACCCAUUGGUACUGACAUUUGACUUUGCUUCUUCAUUCUGACUCCUGCUCUUGUUUUACAGCUCCAUCUCCAGCUUGUGCCUGCAGUUCAACUCCUUUUUCAAUUCUAAGGCUGACUGGUUCUCCGGUUUGCAUUCUGUCUUCUUUCUUGGCUCUAAUUCUUGAUAUGCUCUUAGGCUCUUACUACUUGGCUCUAUUGUUGAUCGGAUUUCCAGCUCUUCCCAGGCUGCUGCUUAUGAAUGGGCCAUGACAUCUUGCUUCUGGGAUUCUAAUGUACUGGGAGUGUAGCAGUUGGGAAUGGGAAUGGGAAUUUUCAAUUUAUUUAUUUGGAAGAUAUUUACCUUACUACCCAACUGAAAGGACUAAUUAAGCGAUAACCUAUUCAAAAGUGAGUGUACAAGAAAAAUUCAACAACUUGAUCAGAUGUUAUAUGGUUAAUAGGAGUAAAAAUGGAUUUUAAAAACCAAGUAAAACACAGUGUUAAGACAAGUUUAUAACACCAGUAAGUUCCCCAAAGAUAUACAGUGAGUGCCACGUCAACUUGUCUCAGGUGGGCAAAGGUAUUCCAGAUACAUAAUGUUAUAAUCUGAAACAUAUUUACAUACCCUCCAACUUUUCAUUGAUGAAAACAUCAAAGUGCAGACAAGACAGCAAAUGUUAAAGAGGAAGAACACAUAAUCCUAGGAGAGACUCAAAUAAUCUGUUUUUCUGCCUGCCUCCUUUCUGUUCCCACUGAGAGCCCAUCCACACUGCCCCUUUAUCCCAGGAUCUGAUACCAGAUUAUCUGUUUAUCCCAGGUGAUUUGGCAGUGGGGACUCAUAUAUUCCAGUCUGAAGCAGAUAAUCUGAGAUCAAAUCCUGGAAUAAAGGACAAUGUGGAAGGGCCCUAAAUUAAAUGCAAGCAAAAUAAUUUAAACUCAGUUUUCAUCAACGGAAGUAAGCUAAGAACAAAGUGGGAAAGUGGAAGGAGACAAGGGAAACUGGGACAUUUUAGAAGCAGAAGGAAGAGGUAAAUUCAGAAGUGCAGGCACUCAUAAUGGAAAUCCCUAUAACCAGUCUCCAAAUAGAGUUCCAAAAGACAGGCAGCAAUGUUGUUCUGCAGUGUGCAUUCCAGGGUCAGGUUUUUGUUAAGGUAAAAGCUCUAAAUGGUCCAUUCAAAACCAAAUUGCAUGAAAGAUGAAUGAAAAAUACAUCUCAAGAUGCUCAAAGGAUCGUCUGUUUAUUAGGUGAAAAGCCAGACACAAUCUGGCCUAUGGGUGCUCCUAAAGUAUUCUUCAUGAGGCUAUACAAAAUCAUAAAACUAAAGCAUCUAAAUACAUUGUCACAUUGCAUUGUUUAUCAUCAAAAGUUUAGAAACUCCAAAACCAUUUACUGGGAAAAUGGAAAUAUAUCAACAAUGACUGUAGUUAUGUGUGCGUGCAUAUGAGUAUGUCUUAUAAGCAGAUAGUAAAAAAAUAUGGAUUUCAUUCAAGCGCACAUGGAUAUCUGGGCCUGUCUAAAAUAAUGGCACAUUUUAUCUCUGUAGGAACUAAGUAUUUUAACUUCAAAAUCCACUCAGUGAUCAUCUUCUUUAUUGCCCAAAUUCUUAAGGUCCAUGGAUAAUGUUGUUCCAAAAAGUAGAUCAGCAAAGAAUUAUCUGGUUUUAGUUGAUCCUUUUAUCACAGAAGAUAUUCUGUAUGUUUCUUAAGAGGUUUUUGACAUUUCCAGCAUAUGAUAUAAAUAAAAAAACUGCUUUUGCAAGUUUUAAAGUAGUAAAAAUAUGUGCCGAUUUCAGUAUCAUACUUACCUAUGUGUAACUUAGAAUUACAUUUCUGUAACUGAUUUGUAAUUCACAAUCCCCAAAGAGUUUGAAUUAUAGCAUUAUUGCCAUGAGUGUCACUGCCUCCCUCACCUCACUGUAUCAGGCAUUCGUUGCAUCAAGAGACGAUGAUCUGUUUUUCUGGCAAUUGAGCAUGAGUAGGUGAAGUUUCCAUCACUCCUUCCCACCAGCAAGUGAAGAUGUGACAAUCAGAAGCAAGAUCUUUGUUGCAACUCCAGGCUGAAACCUCACUCUUUGGAAGGAGAAGGAGAAAACAUCAUCCAUGUAUGUCUCAAUGCAUGAGAGCUAUUGCACGGUGACCUUCCCACAAAGCCAAGCUUAAGCUGAAAUAAGGACCCCACCGGCCUUCCUCCCAUGAAGCCCAGCAAAUCUUGAAUCUCGUAUUACCCUAGAGGCAUGGGAAAGAGCUGGGCUGCUGUGACUCCCACACUCUAGCACAACAGAAAAGGGAACUAAUUUAUCUGGCGAAUAGUCAACAAGAAGAGUGCAAGAAUGAGCUUGAGACAGGGAACAUUGCUUCUGUUAGUCUAACAUAAAAAUAUUAAAAUCAUGGGCCUUGAAAACAAGUGUACGCAAACCAUUCAAAAAGAAGUUUAAUGUAUGAACUGGAAAAUACCAGCAUGUAUAAGUACAAAUCUGGUGAAUCAGAACCAGUACAUUCAGAAACUUGGAUAUAAACAGAAUAAAGACAAGACAAAAAAAGUCACAAUCAAUCUAAGAAACAUUAAAACAAGCAUCAAUAUAACAUAUUUGAACUUUCCAGUUAAUGUUUAUAAUAGUCCUGGAAUAGGUUGUGUAGUGAGCUUUAUUUUGUCUAUUACAAAUUAUCUUAAUUGUGCUGUUUGUUGACAUAGCAUUAUUGUUCCACAAAACCAUAACCAUACAUCACUUGAAAGCAAAGCAAUCUUAAAAUAGAUCUUCCAAUACUGGAUGGAAAAAGGGGGUAGAUUUUCUUUCUAUUUCAUGCUUAAAUCUCGUCGAUGCAAUAUGAUUAUUAUUUUUAAGUAGAUGAUUUCUAUAUUUGUGCUAAAAUCUGCAUUGAUUGAAAUAUAUAUUCACUUUACAGACUACAAUGUCUAGUGUUAAUCACCCAGGCUUGAUUAAUUAUGCUGGAUGAUUAGGUGAUGACACUUCUUAGUUGAGAAAAUGAGGCAUCUUCGGCAUCCUGUCAAAACACAGAACAUUCCUCCUUCUCACCUUCAUUACCAAGAUAUAUGAAAGCUCAAAACUACUUUAUUUCCUUUAUGUGAAAAACUGAAUGUUUAAUUGCCCUAUAUCUGUCAACAAUAAAAACUUGGUACACCUCA